UUUCCCUACCCCAACUAACUCUUUUGGUAGUGAAUACUUUGUUUAAAAUAUUUGUCAGAGGAGAUCCAUGUUAUCCAUUUAUGAGUACAUUGCAGACCAAUUAACUGACAUGUUUCAGGAAAAUUUUUUGUAGUUGAAUAAGUAAACAAAAAGCAUUUGAAGAUCAUACUGUUUUCAUCCUUGUCCAUGGAAUUUGUGUUUUGUCUUUGCCUUUUUUGAUGUCAAAAUAGAGGAGAUUGUUUGCAUCUAUAGAGAAUAAGUUGUAACGAUAGUCUUUAUUUUUGGUAAUGAAUAAGUAAGGUUAAAACUGUCUCUAUGAUUAUAAAAACUCAUGGAAUUAUCCAGGAAACUUUCAUUGCAAAGAAUUAAAAAGUUUCUAUAUUU
rnacentral:lncRNA from 1 species